rnacentral:rRNA from 1 species
UCCUACGGGAGGCAGCAGUGGGGAAUAUUGGACAAUGGGGGAAACCCUGAUCCAGCGACGCCGCGUGAGUGAAGAAGUGUUUCGGCAUGUAAAGCUCUAUCAGCAGGGAAGAAAAUGACGGUACCUGACUAAGAAGCCCCGGCUAACUACGUGCCAGCAGCCGCGGUAA